rnacentral:rRNA from 1 species
AGGACGAACGCUGGCGGCGUGCCUAACACAUGCAAGUCGAACGGGGUCCAUCCGGUGGCAACACCGGAGAAGACCCAGUGGCGAACGGGUGCGGAACACGUGAGCAACCUGCCCCGAAGAUCGGGAUAACGGCGGGAAACCGGUGCUAAUACCGGAUACCCCCACGGAACCGCAUGGCUUCGUGAGGAAAUGCCUGCACCUAAUCGUGCAGUACGCUUCGGGAGGGGCUCGCGGCCUAUCAGCUUGUUGGUGGGGUAAAGGCCUACCAAGGCUACGAUCGGUAGCUGGUCUGAGAGGAUGAUCAGCCACACUGGGACUGAGACACGGCCCAGACUCCUACGGGAGGCAGC